CGUGAAAUUGUUGAAAGGGAAGCGUUUAUGACCAGACUUGGGCUUGGUUAAUCAUCCAGGGUUCUCCCUGGUGCACUUUUCCAGUCCAGGCCAGCAUCAGUUUGCUUCGGGGGAUAAAGGCUUCGGGAAUGUGGCUCUCUUCGGGGAGUGUUAUAGCCCGUUGUGUAAUACCCUGGGGCGGACUGAGGUACGCGCUUCUGCAAGGAUGCUGGCGUAAUGGUCAUCAACG
rnacentral:rRNA from 1 species